GCUCAUGCGUCGCGUACAGCUCACUACGAAGCGGCUCAAUGUGUUAGGUGUCGUGUGGUGCCGGAAAAUAUUAGCUUCGACGGACCUGUUUCCAUUGAGUGUGAUUCAGUGCUUGAGACCGGUUCAAAUCGAUUGAAGCAGAAGUGCGGCGCGCUACGUUAAUGUGCGGAUGGUAAACGGAUUCGUCAAAAAGUUGCAAACGACGGCGCGACGUCGACGGUGUGUCUGUUAUUAAAAAGAAAGACGAACAUAAAUUUUUGAAAUUAAAACAAAACGAAAAAAACAGCAAAUGCAAUAAAAUUUAAAUUGGGAAAACGACGAAAGGCAACUGCGCGCAGAUACAUAUGUAUGUAGUUAUUGUGGAGUAAAGUAAAAUCGAGUGCAAGUGUGAGAAAAAAAUUAAUAUGCGUGUGCCAAAGUGAAAAACUAAAAAAAAAAAAUAAUAAUAAUUGAGUUGAGUGCACAUAGGCACCUAAAUUGUUGUAAAUUAAUGCAUGCAUUUUUAAAAAUAAAAACGAAAAAAUACGAUAAACAAUAGUUGAUAAACAUAUGUACAUAUGUAUGAAAAAGAGUGUUUUAGAGAAAAUCCGGCCAAAAGUUAAUAAAUCAAUAUUUGUGUUGGAAAUUUGUUUAGCGGGUUGAAAGACAUUUGAAUUUCCGAAAUAAACUAAAAGUAAGCAAUAAAUUGCUGUUCUCCGGAAAAUAACUCAUAGGAAAUUAAAUGCUUUGCAAUCAACACCCUCUGAAACGUAGGGGUAAAUAAUUUUACAAAAAAUAAACUUCACGCAACUAAAAAAAAAAAACGUCCACGUAUUGAACGCACGCAUUAGCUUACCUAUACGAACAUAUUAGAAAAUUAGCACAACAAAAACAAAAAAAGAACGUGCAACAUUUGUGACGCUAUAAACAUUUGUGUCACUUGUCUGUGAUUUGUGUGCUGCCAAUAACAAAACGAACGACAAAA